rnacentral:misc_RNA from 1 species
ACUCCGACGUCCAGAGAUGAGGAUGAUACCUGAGGUUGCAUGAACUCGAUCAGAACUUCCUUAAUUCCGGAUUAUUAAUCGCUAAUUUCGAUUAAUUAAUUGUGAUUAGAAAACUUACACUGUGGCUCAAGCACUGUGUGUUGUAGCCGUUGGCAAACGGUUUGGAUCCAGUGAAAUCGAAAUCAAAGCAGAGAUCGUUCACUAAUCGAGCUUGAACGCUCUUGCUUUGCACAGGCACAACGCCAUCUGUGCCGGAGCCGUUCUGCUCCUGUUCUUCGAGUUUGGGAUCCACCGGAGGGGCAUAAUCCAGAUUCAAAUAGGGGUCCAUAUCCGAGAACACAUAUGAACCUGUAAUUAGACCCGCACUCUCCAUCACUUUCGGGUUGGGAGGAUUUGGAAGAAGCCACGAGGCUGUCUCCGCUUCCUCCCUGUUGACAUCGGCGUCUCCAUCCACGUCAGACAGGUAACAGUCAUCAAGGAAGUUUACAGCGUUAGGCUUAACAGCAGGAGCCGAACCAACCGAUUCGUAGAACGGCGUCACAGGAACUCGCUCGUGUCGGCGAGCCAGUGGAUUGGCGCAGUGAAUGUCACGAUCGCACGUGACGCAGAGGGCUGCAGCGUCGGCCUUGCAAGUCACAUGAGCCGGCGCUUGCUCGCACACCUCACAAACCCACACACGAGCGUGCCGCGAGGCAAGCUUGUUGGCGGCGUGGACCUUAGAGUCACAGUUGAUGCAGAGAAACGCCGAGUCAGCUCGGCAGAAGAGAGUUGCCGUUGCCGACUUGCAGGAAUCACAGAGCUUGUAAGCCAUUACCAAGUAUAUGCGGAUGAAAAGAUGAACUCAGGCUGGCCUGGCACAGUCUUCUUUUGUGUAUUUUCCGUUUACUGUAGCGAGAGGAGCGAGUAUGAUACU